GACGAACGCUGGCGGCGUGCUUAACACAUGCAAGUCGAACGAUGAAGAAGAGAAACGCGAACUUCGGUUCAAAUUUCACUUCGGAUUAGUGGCAGACGGGUGAGUAACGCGUGAGCAACCUACCUCUUACAAAGGGAUAGCCUCGGGAAACCGUGAUUAAUACCAUAUGACACUUUCAUAAGGCAUCUUAAGAAUGUUAAAGCUACGGCGGUAAGAGAUGGGCUCGCGUCCCAUUAGCUAGUUGGUGAGGUAACGGCCCACCAAGGCGACGAUGGGUAACCGGCCUGAGAGGGUGAACGGUCACAUUGGAACUGAGACACGGUCCAAACUCCUACGGGAGGCAGCAGUGGGGAAUAUUGCACAAUGGAGGGAACUCUGAUGCAGCGACGCCGCGUGAGCGAUGAAGGAAUUCGUUUCGUAAAGCUCUGUUCUAUGGGAAGAAAAGGACUGUACCAUAGGAGAAAGCCCCGGCUAAAUACGUG
rnacentral:rRNA from 1 species